AAAAUACAAAGGUCAUCUACCCACAUGAGAGGAGAUGCCUUUUUUUGGAUCCAUUGGGGGAAUCUAAAAGGAACAUUCAGAGAUGCCUGGAGUCAACAAGGGCCUUUAUGCGAAAGAAAGACUGCAAUGUGACAAGGUGGACAUGCAGCACUCUGGCCCAUGCACGCCAGCAAGAUGGCACAUCAUGUGGUGUCCUGGCCUUAAAAUUUGCAGAGAAAAUAUUGAAAGGGCAGCCAAUUAACAUUGAGACGCACCUUUCGGCUGUGAACAAUUUCAGACUGGAUAUUGCCACUAUUCUCCUUCAAGAAACAGAUGAUCUCAGCAAGGUCUGUCACAGCUGUGGGAUGGAGGAGAGCGAUAACCCUCAAUGGGUACGUUUUCACUGUGCAAUACAGUCAGGCUGUGAAAUAGCAGGGAGUAGAUAACAUCAUUAUUGUAGUAAAAUGGAAAAUGUAUUUUGGUGACAAUGCAUAAUGCGUAUGAGUUCAAACAGUGUACCUUCUGUUUUAAUGUGUUUGUGUACAAAUAGGUUGAAU